CCCUUAGAUGUUCUGGGCCGCACGCGCGCUACACUGACGAAUGCAACGAGCUUAUAACCUUGGCCGAAAGGUCUGGGUAAUCUCCAAAUUUCGUCGUGAUGGGGAUAGAUUAUUGCAAUUAUUAAUCUUCAACGAGGAAUGCCUAGUAAGCACAAGUCAUCAGCUUGCGUUGAUUACGUCCCUGCCCUUUGUACACACCGCCCGUCGCUCCUACCGAUUGAAUGGUCCGGUGAAGCGUUCGGACCGUGGCCUUUGGACGGUUCGCCGUCUGUUGGCUGCGGGAAGUUCGUUAAACCUUAUCAUUUAGAGGAAGGAGAANUCGUAACA
rnacentral:rRNA from 1 species